rnacentral:rRNA from 1 species
ACUCAAAGGAAUAGACGGGGGCCCGCACAAGCGGCGGAGCAUGUUGCUUAAUUCGACGCAACGCGAAGAACCUUACCAAGGUUUGACAUGGCCGGAAAACCCGCAGAGAUGCGGGGUCCUUCGGGGCCGGUCACAGGUGGUGCAUGGCUGUCGUCAGCUCGUGUCGUGAGAUGUUGGGUUAAGUCCCGCAACGAGCGCAACCCUUGUCCUGUGUUGCCAGCAAUUCGGUUGGGGACUCAUGGGAGACUGCCGGGGUCAACUCGGAGGAAGGUGGGGAUGACGUCAAGUCAUCAUGCCCCGUAUGUCUUGGGCUGCAAACAUGCUACAAUGGCCGGUACAGAGGGCUGCGACAUCGUGAGGUGGAGCGAAUCCCGGAAAGCCGGUCUCAGUUCGGAUCGGGGUCUGCAACCCGACCCCGUGAAGUCGGAGUCGCUAGUAAUCGCGAAUCAGCAAUGUCGCGGUGAAUACGUUCCCGGGCCUUGUACACACCGCCCGU